UCUACCAAAGGAUAGUAGUUUCUCCUUUGGUCUUAGGCGCCAAAACUCUUGGUGCAAACCCAAGUGGUAGAA
rnacentral:tRNA from 1 species